rnacentral:snRNA from 1 species
AUCACUUCUCUGCCUGUUGGCUAAGAUCAAGUGUAGCAUCUGUUCUUACCAGUUUAAUAAUAGUAUCUGUCUGUUAUGGCUGUUGUCAGGAUGGAUCAAUGCAUAUAAAGGCUCAGUACCUAGU